rnacentral:tRNA from 1 species
GAGGGUAUAGCUCAAGUGGUAGAGCGCACGCUUAGCAUGCAGGAAGUCCUGGGUUCGAUCCCCAGUGCCUCCU